AGUGAACGCUGGCGGUAGGCCUAACACAUGCAAGUCGAACGGCAGCACAGUAAGAGCUUGCUCUUACGGGUGGCGAGUGGCGGACGGGUGAGGAAUACAUCGGAAUCUACUUUUUCGUGGGGGGUCACGGAGGGGAAACUAAGCUAAUAACGGAUAACGACUUCGGGGGGAAAGCAGGGGUCGUUUGGACUUUCGGGGUUGGAAUGGGCGAUGGUGGGUUUGCUAGUUGGCGGGGUAAAGGGCCACCAAGGCGACGAUCCGUAGCUGGUCUGAGAGGAUGGUCAGCCACACUGGAACUGAGACACGGUCCAGACUCCUACGGGAGGCAGCAGUGGGGAAUAUUGGACAAUGGGCGCAAGCCUGAUCCAGCCAUACCGCGUGGGUGAAGAAGGCCUUCGGGUUGUAAAGCCCUUUUGUUGGGAAAGAAAAGCAGCAGGUUAAUACCCCGCUGUUCUGACGGUACCCAAAGAAUAAGCACCGGCUAACUUCGUG
rnacentral:rRNA from 1 species